rnacentral:rRNA from 1 species
GACAGAGGGUGCAAACGUUGUUCGGAAUUACUGGGCGUAAAGCGCGUGUAGGCGGCUAUGUAAGUCGGGCGUGAAAUCCCACGGCUCAACCGUGGAAGUGCACCCGAAACUGCGUAGCUAGAGUCCUGGAGAGGAAGGUGGAAUGCUUGGUGUAGAGGUGAAAUUCGUAGAUAUCAAGCGGAACACCGGUGGCGAAGGCGGCCUUCUGGACAGUGACUGACGCUGAGACGCGAAAGCGUGGGGAGCAAACGGG